AGUCGAACGUGGAAGGGGAGCAAUGGACAAGUAGAGCGGCAGACGGGUGAGUAACGCGUGGGUAAUCUACCUCCGAGUGGGGAAUAACAGCGGGAAACUGCUGCUAAUACCGCAUGACAUCGUCGGGCCUGCGGGCCUGACGAUCAAAGCCGGGGACCGCAAGGCCUGGCGCUUGGAGAGGAGCCCGCGUCCGAUUAGCUCGUUGGCGGGGUAACGGCCCACCAAGGCUUCGAUCGGUAGCCGGCCUGAGAGGGCGGACGGCCACACUGGGACUGAGACACGGCCCAGACUCCUACGGGAGGCAGCAGUGGGGAAUUUUUCGCAAUGGGGGAAACCCUGACGAAGCAACGCCGCGUGGAGGAUGAAGGCCUUCGGGUCGUAAACUCCUGUCGACUGGGACGAACGUAGCGGAGGUUAAUACCUUCUGCUAUCGACUGUACCGGUGGAGGAAGCCACGGCUAACUCUGUGCCAGCAGCCGCGGUAAUACAGAGGUGGCAAGCGUUGUUCGGAAUUACUGGGCGUAAAGGGCGCGUAGGCGGCCUUGUAAGUCCUGUGUGAAAUCCCCCGGCUCAACUGGGGAACUGCACAGGAGACUGCUUGGCUUGAGUUCGGGAGAGGGAAGCGGAAUUCCGGGUGUAGCGGUGAAAUGCGUAGAUAUCCGGAGGAACACCGGUGGCGAAGGCGGCUUCCUGGACCGACACUGACGCUGAGGCGCGAAAGCCAGGGGAGCAAACGGGAUUAGAUACCCCGGUAGUCCUGGCUGUAAACGAUGAGCGCUGGGUGUAGGGGGUAUUGACCCCCCCUGUGCCGAAGUUAACGCAUUAAGCGCUCCGCCUGGGGAGUACGGUCGCAAGGCUGAAACUCAAAUGAAUUGACGG
rnacentral:rRNA from 1 species